rnacentral:rRNA from 1 species
CUCAGUUCGGAUUGUAGUCUGCAACUCGACUACAUGAAGCUGGAAUCGCUAGUAAUCGCGGAUCAGAAUGCCGCGGUGAAUACGUUCCCGGGUCUUGUACACACCGCCCGUCACACCAUGGGAGUCGGGAAUGCCCGAAGCCAGUGACCCAAGCGAGAGCAGGGAGCUGUCGAAGGCAGGCCGGAUAACUGGGGUGAAGUCGUAACAAGGUACC